AAGGAUAUAUUCGGAACAUCUUCGUAGAAGAUGAAGGAAUAACAUUGACAUAUUGUAUUCAGUUUUGAAUGUUUAUAUAACAUUCAACGUGAUGGGCCUAUAGCUCAGCUGGUUAGAGCGCACGCCUGAUAAGCGUGAGGUCGGUGGUUCGAGUCCACUUAGGCCCACCAUUCAUUUAUUUGUACAUUGAAAACUAGAUAAGUAAGUAAAAUAGAUUUUACCAAGCAAAACCGAGUGAAUUAGAGUUUUAAAGCUUGAAUUCAUAAGAAAUAAUCGCUAGUGUUCGAAAGAACACUCACAAGAUUAAUAACGCGUUUCCUGUAGGAUGGAAACAUA
rnacentral:misc_RNA from 2 species